rnacentral:lncRNA from 1 species
AUCUAUGGGUCGCUGUGGGUCAGUUCCAUGGGGGGGGCAGGUGUCCAUUCUAUGGGGCAGGAUGUGGGUCGGAUCUAUGGGGUGCUGUGGGUCACUGUGGGUCGGAUCUAUGGGUCGCUGUGGGUCACUGUGGGUCAGUAACAUGGGGGUCGCUGUGGGUCGGAUCUAUGGGUCGCUGUGGGUCAGUUUCAUGGGGGUCGCUGUGGGUCUCUUCUAUGGGGGAGGGGGUGUCCGUUCUAUGGGGCAGGAUGUGGGUCAGAUCCAGGGGAGCAGGAUGUGGGUCCCGGACACCUGGGUCCAUUCUAUGGGGCGGGGGGAUGUGGGUCGGAUCUGUGGGUCACUGUGGGUCGCUGUGGGUUGGAUCUAUGGGUCACCGUGGGUCUCUAUGGGUCUCUAUGGGUCAAUCUAUGGGUCAAUCUAUGGGUCUCUAUGGGUCUCAUCUCUCUAUGGGUCUCUGUGGGUCACAGGGUGUCUCUAUGGGUCACUCUAUGGGUCACAGGGCGUCUCUAUGGGUCAAUCUAUGGGUCUCUGUGGGUCUCUAUGGGUCAAUCUAUGGGUCUCUAUGGGUCUCUAUGGGUCUCUAUGGGUCGCUGUAGGUCUCUAUGGGUCUCUAUGGGUCAAUCUAUGGGUCUCUAUGGGUCAAUCUAUGGGUCACAGGGCGUCUCUAUGGGUCAAUCUAUGGGUCUCUAUGGGUCUCUAUGGGUCUCUAUGGGUCAAUCUAUGGGUCUCUAUGGGUCGCUGUGGGUCUCUAUGGGUCUCUAUGGGUCACUCUAUGGGUCUCUAUGGGUCUCUAUGGGUCAAUCUAUGGGUCUCUGUGGGUCUUGUCUCUCUAUGGGUCUCUAUGGGUCACAGCGUAUCUCUAUGGGUCUCCGUGGGUCGCCGUGGGUCACUCUAUGGGUCUCUAUGGGUCUCUAUGGGUCAGAUCUAUGGGUCACUCUAUGGGUCAAUCUAUGGGUCACAGGGCAUCUCUAUGGGUCCCUAUGGGUCACAAGGUGUCUCUAUGGGUCACUCUAUGGGUCGCUGUGGGUCACAGGGUGUCUCUAUGGGUCAUGCCGUGGGUCUCUAUGGGGUGCUGUGGGUCCCUAUGUAUCCCUGUGGGUCUCUGUGGGUCUCUAUGGGUCACUCUAUGGGUCUCUGUGGGUCACAGGGUGUCUCUAUGGGUCAAUCUAUGGGUCCAUGUGUGUCCCUAUGGGUCUCUAUGGGUCUCUCUGGGUCACUCUAUGGGUCUCUAUGGGUCCCUAUGGGUCUCGUCUCUCUAUGGGUCACUGUGGGUCACG